UGUUUUGGACGACAAGCCAGCGCAGCGCCGCCGUCGCUGAGCCACCAUGCUACGCGUCAACUAACAACUGCACAAAAACAACAAACUAAAAAAACAACGCUGGAGAGUUGAAUCAGCAGCACUUGGAAAAAUGCUGGCCUGGCGGCAUUAGCCAGCCGCGCAUGGUUUUUAGUUUACAUCCGAACUCGACCGCGAAAACAUUACCCUCAAAAAUAUAGAGAUACGGGAUGUCAUUAUAUUUAACGUUUUUAGAGGUGGUGUAAAAUAUACGCUUUACGCUUUAACAGCUGUGACCUCUCUUGUUUUUUCUUUUUAACAUUAAGUUAGAUACGAGUACCGUGUCAAUUGAAAAGUUGGAAUCAUAUGAAGUAAUUGGAUUUUAAUUAAAGAUACUCAAGCAUAUGUAUCUACGAUAUGAUGUGUCGAGACGCAAUGGUGCAUUAAGAGUCCGAGGAGUGAAUCAAAUGAAGAUUAUUAAAUUGACGGAUAAGUGAUGAUUGUUACUUUUUUUCUUGUUUUUUAAUCAUAAGUGAAGGUCACUAAAUAAGUUUGAAAAAGAUACAACAAAGUCAACUUUAAACAAGUAUCUAACUAUCUAAUGCUUCCGUGAGAUCAUUUAUCUUAAUUUUUUGUUUUAUAUUCAUUUUUAUAUGAAUUGACGUGAUUUUCGAGUACCUACCUAUCAAAAGAAUAGUGCUUAUUUACUUUUAAGGCUUUUUUAUGAUUUCAAAAGAUUUACUUCUAAAUUGAAAUUACUCUUGAACACAAUUCGUCUGUGGUUUUCGGUGAAUUCUGAGCUCAAGUUCUAUUUGAUAGAUUGUUGUUGAUGACGGACGGUUUUGUAUUGUUUAUUAAAAAAAUAAAGUUCUUUGUUUGAGGUUUAAGAGGAAUAUAAGAGGGUUUUUCAACACUGAAAUGGACAUAUUGGAUAUCAUAUUGACUUGAAGAAAAGCCAAAGAGCACACAUUUAACUACGUGGAUCGUGUACGUCUGGGUCAAAGUUCGUUACAAAAACAAUAUCGUCCGCCGUGCGGUUCUGGCUGGCGCCAAAAAUCCAUUUCGAAUCUAGACCUUUCAACAAAUCG